rnacentral:tRNA from 13 species
CGGGGCGUAGCUCAGAUGGUAGAGCGUCCGCCUAGCAUGCGAGAGGUACCGGGAUCGAUACCCGGCGCCUCCA